GACAGAGGGUGCAAACGUUGUUCGGAAUUACUGGGCGUAAAGCGCGUGUAGGCGGCCAUCUAAGUCGGGCGUGAAAUCCCACGGCUCAACCGUGGAAGUGCACUCGAAACUGGAUGGCUAGAGUCCUGGAGAGGAAGGUGGAAUGCUUGGUGUAGAGGUGAAAUUCGUAGAUAUCAAGCGGAACACCGGUGGCGAAGGCGGCCUUCUGGGACAGUGACUGACGCUGAGACGCGAAAGCGUGGGGAGCAACAGG
rnacentral:rRNA from 1 species